CGUGCAUGCGCGCGCGCGCGUGUGUGUGUGUGUGUGUGUGUGUGUCCUCUCUCUCUUUCUCUCUCA
rnacentral:miRNA from 1 species